rnacentral:lncRNA from 1 species
CACAACAUUCCGCUACUCCUCUCGACACACAUACACAAAACAACGAAGAACAUCAUGAACGUCACUUAAAUAUGAACGAUUUUUCCAGAAAUUUGUCAAACUAUAAUGAUGAAUUUGGAACCCGUAACGUACACCAAACUGGUAGAUGUCGAAUUCGAAUCCGCUUUAUCCAAAUCAAUGCCUUUAAACAGAAAUGGAAGGAAUACUCAUUUAUUAUAUUUGCUUUACCAUGAUUGAAAAAACUAUAGGUUCCAAAAAC